rnacentral:lncRNA from 1 species
CUGCAGAAGAGGCAGGAUGCUCCGAGGUGGGUCCCGGGUGCUGGGGGGCCGUGCCCUCCCUCUUUCCUUCCCCGGGAUCACAGCCAGGGGCCCCCCCGCGCAGCCCUGAGGUGGAUUCGAGAAGCAGACCUCGGGCAGCACGGGGCUCAGAGGCCAGAAUCAGAGCUGACGCUGCCUGGGUCCUUCCCGUCACUCUCCAGGAUGAGAUCAUUGAGACAAUGGUUCCUAAAAAAUAAAAGGGCCUUUCUGUUUCCCUUUCCAAAUAUGUUCUAGGACAUUCUCAGAAUGCCCCGGGGGAUACGUGCUCUUCAAACUUUCAACAUGGUGAAGGCCUGGGAGGUGGUGGACCGCGACAAGAACGCUGGGAGUGUGACCAGCACAGGCCCGGAGGCGCCCAGGGCCUCAUCUCUCCGCGUCUGAGCUCCCGGUUUCAUGCUCAGCCAAGGAAUUCGAGCUUCACUUUUAGCGUCAGGGAGAAAACUAAAGAUUGGCUGUAUAAAAGCGUGCCAUUCUCUAAGAGGCUUGCCAUGUUUUCAAGACCUCUUGAGUCGUCGUGACUUCUGCCUCUUGACUUCGAUUCGACUCCGCAAGCAAUAAAACAGUAAAAG